AUUGAACGCUGGCUGCAUGCCUUACACAUGCAAGUCGAACGUUAACAGGUCUGCGGAUGCUGACGAGUGGCGAACGGGUGAGUAAUACAUCGGAACGUGCCUAGUAGUGGGGGAUAACUACUCGAAAGAGUGGCUAAUACCGCAUGAGAUCUACGGUUGAAAGCAGGGGAUAGCAAGACCUUGUGCUACUAAAGCGGCCGAUGGAAGAUUAGGUAGUUGGUGGGAUGAAAGCUUACCAAGCAGACGAUCUGUAGCUGGUCUGAGAGGACGAUCAGGCACACUGGGACUGAGACACGGCCCAGACUCCUACGGGAGGCAGCAGUGGGGAAUUUUGGACAAUGGGCGCAAGCCUGAUCCAGCAAUGCCGCGUGCAGGAUGAAGGCCUUCGGGUUGUAAACUGCUUUUGUACGGAACGAAAAGCCCUGGGUUAAUACCCUGGGGUCAUGACGGUACCGUAAGAAUAAGCACCGGCUAACUACGUGCCAGCCGCCGCAGUAAGAC
rnacentral:rRNA from 1 species